CAAACGUGCUGCUAUUAUAAAUUAUCUUCGAUAUUGGGCUCCAUAGAAGAAAAUAAAGAAGGUGGCCUGUACCCUUACCGAGCUAGUAAAGCUGCCUUAAAUGCCAUUACCAAAUCCCAGUGUAUUGAUCUCAGGAAUUUCAAUAUAUUAGUAACUUGCCUUCACCCUGGGUGGGUUCAGACAGAUAUGGGAGGCAAGUCUGCUCCUCUCACACCAGUAGAAAGUGUAUCAGGAAUCAUAAAUACUCUACACAACUUGAAUGAAGAACAUCAUGGAGGAUUUUACCAGUAUGAUGGGCAAAAAUUACUUGGUAAUUCUCUUUUUUUUUAAUAUACCACCACCUUGGUAAUUCACAGUGGUGUUUUACUUUUGUGUAAAUACUAUUUACAAUAAAUAUACCAGUCUAAA